rnacentral:rRNA from 1 species
UACAGAGGGGGCGAGCGUUAUUCGGAAUUAUUGGGCGUAAAGGGCGCGUAGGCGGCUUUUCAAGUGACGGGUGAAAGCCCUCGGCUUAACCGAGGAACUGCCUGUCAGACUGGAAGGCUUGAGACCGGGAGAGGUGAGUGGAAUUCCCAGUGUAGCGGUGAAAUGCGUAGAUAUUGGGAGGAACACCAGUGGCGAAGGCGGCUCACUGGACCGGAACUGACGCUGAGGCGCGAAAGCGUGGGGAGCAAACAGG